GAUGAACGCUGGCGGCGUGCCUAAUACAUGCAAGUCUUUCGCACGGACGUGAUUCUUGCUUCUCUGAUGUUAGCGGCGGACGGUUGCGUAUCACGUGGUUAACCUACAUUUAAGACUAGGAUAACUUCGCGACACCUGAGCUAAUACCGGAUAAUACUUUGUACUGUAUGGUUCAAAAGAGAAAGACGGUCUUGCUGUCACUUAUAGAUUGAUCCGCGCUGCAUUAGCUAGUGGGUAAGGUAACCGCUUACCAAGGCACCGAUGCAUAGCCGACCUGAGAGGGUGAGCGGCCACACUGGAACUGAGACACGGCCAAGACUCGUACGGGAGGCAGCAGUAGGGAAUCUUCGGCAAUGGGGGAAAGAAUGACGGAGCAACGCGGCGAGAGUGAUGAAGGUAUUCGGAUCGUAAAACUCAGUUAUUAGGGAAGAACAUAUGUGUAAGUAACUGAGCAAAAAUUGACGGUACCUAAUGAGAAAGCCACGGCUAAAUACGUG
rnacentral:rRNA from 1 species